rnacentral:RNase_P_RNA from 1 species
GCAGAUGGCUGGAUGGCCGCCGCCGCAAUUGCGGGGGAGGAAAGUCCGGGCUCCACGGAAACACGGUGCUGGCUAACGGCCAGCGAGGGCGACCUCAGGGAAAGUGCCACAGAGAGCAGACCGCUGGCGCAAGUCAGUAAGGGUGAAAGGGUGCGGUAAGAGCGCACCGCGUCCCUGGUGACAGGGAUGGCAGGGUAAACCCCACCGGGAGCAAGACCAAUAGGAACAGUUGCCUUGUGCAGGCGAGUUUUCGCGCUGCUGUUCGGGUCGGUUGCUUGAGCGAUUUGGCAACAAAUCGCCUAGAGGAAUGGUCAUCACUGGUGCAAGCCAGUACAGAACCCGGCUUACAGGCCAUCUGCCACU